AGAAUCAACGCUGGCGGCGUGCCUAACACAUGCAAGUCGAACGAGAAAGUGGGAGCAAUCCCACGAGUAAAGUGGCGCACGGGUGAGUAACACGUGACUAACCUACCCUUGAGUGGGGGAUAACCUAGGGAAACCUGGGCUAAUACCGCAUAAUACCUACGGGUCAAAGGAGCAAUUCGCUUAAGGAGGGGGUUGCGGCAGAUUAGUUAGUUGGCGGGGUAAUGGCCCACCAAGACAGUGAUCUGUA
rnacentral:rRNA from 1 species